rnacentral:rRNA from 1 species
GACGAACGCUGGCGGCGUGCUUAACACAUGCAAGUCGAACGGAAAGGCCUGCUUUCCCUUGUGGAUUGCGGGUACUCGAGUGGCGAACGGGUGAGUAACACGUGAGUGAUCUGCCCCCAACUUGGGUAUAAGCCUGGGAAACUGGGUCUAAUUCCCGAUAGGACUGCAGGGUGGUGCCUGUGGUGGAAAACGAUUUUCUAGUGGUUGGGGAUGAGCUCGCGGCCUAUCAGCUUGUUGGUGGGGUAAUGGCCUACCAAGGCGGCGACGGGUAGCCGGCCUGGGAGGGUGGACGUCAACAUUGGGACUGAGAUACGGCCCAGACUCCUACGGGAGGCAGCAGUGGGGAAUAUUGCACAAUGGGCGGAAGCCUGAUGCAGCGACGCCGCGUGGGGGAUGCCGGCCUUCGGGUUGUAAACUCCUUUCGGCCGCGAGGAAGCCACCUGGUUGGAAGGGUGGUGACGGUAGUGGGAGAAGAAGCACCGGCUAACUACGUG